rnacentral:piRNA from 1 species
UUGUGGCUUAUAUUCAGGUGAGGAAC